rnacentral:rRNA from 1 species
UACGAAGGGGGCUAGCGUUGUUCGGAAUCACUGGGCGUAAAGCGCACGCAGGCGGAUUGAUAAGUCAGGGGUGAAAUCCCGAGGCUCAACCUCGGAAUUGCCUUUGAUACUGUCUAUCUUCGAGUUCGGGAGAGGUUGGCGGAAUUCCUAGUGUAGAGGUGAAAUUCGUAGAUAUUAGGAAGAACACCAGUGGCGAAGGCGGCUACACUGGCCCCGAUAUGACGCCUGAGGACGAAAGCGUGGGGAGCAAACAGG